UCCGGGCAAUCGCUGGCUUGACCAAAGCUAGAGGAAAGUCCAUGCUCGCACAAUCUGCGAUGAUUGUAGUGUUUGCGCCGGCCCAAUCAAUAAGACCGGGCAGCCGGCAGGCUGACGGCUGACGAAACCCUUAGGUCCCUUCGGGGAUGAUGGCGGACGUCUGUAACAGUGUCACAGUGACGGAGUUUCCGGGGAAACCCGGAAAGUGGAACGCGAUAAACCCCGCAAGCGAGAAACCCAAAUUUGGUAGGGGAACUUCCAAGCCUGAAAUGAAGGGUGAGGAAGCCGUCCGCAAGGACGGAGAUAAAUGGUUGCCGCCUGUUUCGGUAAGAAACAGGAACAGAACAUGGCUUACA
rnacentral:RNase_P_RNA from 1 species